rnacentral:misc_RNA from 1 species
GAACGCAUCUUGCGCCUGGUGGUAUUCCGCCGGGCAUGCCUGUCUGAGUGUCAUUACUAUCUCAACCCUAGCGAUGUUGUCAUGACGUGGCUAAGCGGAUUGGAACAUGGACCUGGCGGGGUUCGCCCGGCCGGUCUUAAAUGGAGUAGGCUAGCCGACUAUCAGCGGUUUGACCGGGUGUUGUAGAGUCGCCUCACGCGGGACGCUGAUCGGAUUAGUUGAAUUGUAAUUGUAUUACUCGAGCGAUUUAGACCUCAGAUCAGGUAGGAUUACCCGCUGAACUUAAG